AUUGAACGCUGGCGGCAGGCCUAACACAUGCAAGUCGAGCGGUAGCACAGAGAGCUUGCUCUCGGGUGACGAGCGGCGGACGGGUGAGUAAUGUCUGGGAAACUGCCUGAUGGAGGGGGAUAACUACUGGAAACGGUAGCUAAUACCGCAUAACGUCGCAAGACCAAAGUGGGGGACCUUCGGGCCUCAUGCCAUCAGAUGUGCCCAGAUGGGAUUAGCUAGUAGGUGGGGUAACGGCUCACCUAGGCGACGAUCCCUAGCUGGUCUGAGAGGAUGCCCAGCCAAACUGGAACUGAGCCACGGUCCAGACUCCUACGGGAGGCAGCAGUGGGGAAUAUUGCACAAUGGGCGCAAGCCUGAUGCAGCCAUGCCGCGUGUAUGAAGAAGGCCUUCGGGUUGUAAAGUACUUUCAGCGGGGAGGAAGGCGACAAGGUUAAAAACCUUGUCGAUUGACGUUACCCGCAGAAGAAGCACCGGCUAACUCCGUGCCAGCAGCCGCAGUAA
rnacentral:rRNA from 1 species